GAGAAGGUUGUAGGGUGGCAAAAAAAUCUCAAUGAAUAUGUUACCACAAAACUUGCCUAGUUAUAACCGUCAAUUUCACGGGGUCACAAAAUUUGGGCCUCAGUCCCUAUAUAAAGGGGUCCAGGAAACUCUAAGACUUAUCAGCCGUUGCACAUAAGGCCUAAAUGUAGUAAACUAGUAUUUACACCCGUGACAUGCGCAACAAAUCGUUGAUGUGAUGUAGUUAUAUAUAAUGUAUUUUUUUUUUGGUACAUUAUAUAUAAUGUAUUUUAAUCAAUGCGUUAUACAAAAAUUAAUUGACGUAAUACAACCGUAUCAUAAAUAAGCCGUAUGUCAUAUCUAUCCGAAUUCCCUCUUUAUUUUUUUUCUAUCUAAAGUAAAAACAUUGAAUAUUAUAAACCUUUUCCAAAUUUUUCAUAGAAGAUAUCUAUGAAUACCAAAAUCCCCAACACGAUUAGUUACAAAUGCUUUUUGACAAGCAUUUGCUGUAAUAGGUUACUUCAUCUAUUUCUAUUUUUGUUUUUCUAGUUUUCAUGCAUAUAAUAAGGCUUAAAUGCCACCUUAGUUUGGAUGACCCUAACGAGAGAUGAAUUUUUAUACUAAAAAUGUGGAUUACAAUAUGAAUACUUUCCUUGUGUAGGUAGGAGUAGGACUACACUUUGGAAUAGUCAAAGCUUUGGUUUUGAUGUACUUAUGGCAGCUGCAUGCAUUGCUUCUACCGCAAAGAUCACAUAAUCUUUUAACUGUUGGGACUGUUAGAUGUUCAUAAUUCUGCCUUGUUUUGUUGUCUAUUAUGAAGUUUAUGGGAACAAUGUAUGGAAGCUCUCCUUUGGUUAAAAAUUUGGACUGAAUACAUCAACUUUGUUUGACCAAUUUUCCUUUAUAUUUUGGGACGGAGAGAGUACAAUUUACCUACCUUUUAUAAUAACAAUAACAAUGGAGAUCGAAAAUAACUAUAGAACUGUGACAAAUUAACACUAAAGGCAAUAGAAGAUUAGAUAGGGAAGAAACUGAGGGAGAGGCUGGGAAAGAAGAAGAAAAUAUCUAGUGUGAGUAACGUACUAUUAUGAUUUGUAAACUUUUUUUAUCUAAUGGUGAUAAAUCGAUUUAUAACCAUUAAAUAAUCUAUCAUCUUCCAUGUUAUACGACCCAUUUACCCAGUUGAAUAAGAUAAACACAACAAGUAAUUGUAGUUCUGCAAAAACCAAGUUAUGAUCUCUCAACCAGCUCAUCUAUGUGCUCAUAUCUAUCAAAAUGCAUUACCAUAAGCAUGCUUUAAAAUGCACAUUUUUAGGAGUGGGUUGAGCCAUAUUAAAACAAAUUUACGAAGACGAUAAGUUAAAUAGAAAUUAUAUUUAUUUAUUUAUUUCUUGAAAGAAAUAUCUAGAUGUCAUUCGAUGCCUAAAAUUGUCUUAAAGUCUAACAUUUUCAUAAAAACAAAAAUAAAUAAAGUCUAUAGCUACCGUAGUUUGGAGUAGAUACUAUAAUCAUUUUGCACAUCACAAAAAUUCAACAUUACAGCUAGAGAGCCAAAAAACUUGGAAGCACAGCAUAAGUUAAAGCUCUCUACAAGCCGAAAACUUGAGCCCUCCUUUGCCCAGACGAAGAAAUUAAUUAUAAAGGAAGAGAGUAUCCACGCAGGUACUUGGAGUCCACACCUGACUCGCGGGACAGUGCUAUGCGUCCAGUUCGUGCCACCUGAAACAAGAAACAUCGUUAAAAAGAAUAGGAUAGAAAGAUAAGCGCAAUGGUUCACUCAGGAUAGGUAAUGUGAUUUGUAGGAGCAAACACACAAUGUUCUUUUCUUUUGUCAAUGAAAGGGUGUAUUAUAGGGUAUCUUAUCACUUUUUGUAAGUCAUAUCGCAUUUGUUCUCAAGGGAGUUAAAACUGGAACCUUCAGGAAUGAAGUACGGCAUAUACAGGAGCAUGCAUGGUGAAGCCCAAACUUCAGGGCUUUCUAACAAAAAUGAAGCAAACUUUUAUGGACGACAUUCUUCUUAAGUAAACAAGUGGAUUCAUUCUUAAUUUAAUUCAAAGUGUAUCCUAAUGACAAACUAAAAUUUAAAGUAGAUGCAGCCUUACUGUUAACUGUUUCCUAUACAAACUUGAGAAAAGAAAAGAUAUGAGUAUAUGACAUUUUGGUAAUUAAAAAUUACUCUCAAAACCCUCCAUCCAAAUAUACCCCAACCAAAGCAUCAUAGACAUUUUGGUAAUUAAAAAUGACUCAUACCAAAUGAUCCUUGCUCUCCCUUUCUUUUCUUACAAAGACCCUCCAUCCAAAUAUACCCCAACCAAAGCAUCAUAGACAGUACUAACGAAUACAAAAAGGAAGCAACUGCAUCCAAUGUGACUCUGGAAAUAUGGGUAAUGAUGUUUUUUCCCGGGAUAUGGAAUAGGGCAUUUAAACAAGUAAACAGUUGCAACAAAAUAUCUACCAGAUACGUGGGAAAGAUUAAUAAAACAGACCUCGCAAAUGCCAUAUGGUUCUAACAACCUUUGCAACGCAACCAUCUUGUCCAGAUCUCCAGUAAGCUGACAUAAGAUAAGAGCAUAUCACUUAGUUCGAGAAACAAUUUAAAAAUAUUAAUGGAUCCGUGGAUCCAAAGUCAGUACUUUGAUAAUUUCAACUGUUAUUAUUGAAGAAAUUGCAUAAGUGUGAAAUGCUUCAAUACAAACAACACUACAACAACAAAAAAUGUUGAAAUCAAGUUCCCGAUUCUUCUGAUUAUCCUAACCACAUUAAAUAAAAAAACAGAAAUAUAUUGCCAAGUGUGAUACUGUAUCACUUGCUUGAAAAAUCUACGUAGACUUUACCUCGAGGGUUAUUGUAUGAUCGGACACAUCAACAGCUUUAGCCCUGAAAAUGCUGGCAAUGUCAAGAACAUCACGUCGUGCAGCAGCAUUUACAGCAAUCUUUAUUAACAUCAAUUCUCGCUCAGCAAAUGGCAUGUGGGUUAUAUCACGGACCUGGAAAAGUAUCAGUUUAGAUACAGAAGUAUAAAAUGGCCAGCUUUUCUUAAUAUUAACAAUGGUUGAAUGUUAUUGCACUAUAUGCAUGAAUAAAGUUCUUAAUAAUAAACUACAAAAGCAAGAGAAAAAUGUAUUAUUCAAGUAAGAGAAUUUACUUGGGUUGGUGUUCCUAAAUAAAAUUAAUCAUUAAGGUCAGAGCACUCAAAAACUAGUCAGGUUUUAUAAGGGGCAAUAUAUUUUCAAAUUUCUCUUAAUAUAAAGUUUGCUCAAAUAUUGAAAUGUGAAUCGUGACUAAUCAGUUUUGUUAAUAUGGGUCGCCAAAUCCUAAUAAAGGCUUCCAACACAAAUGUCCUGUUGUGGCCAGGUGCAUAAACAGAGAGAAAACAAAGAAUUUAAUGUGGUUUGACCUAGAGUAUACUAUAGACCUGUAUCCAUGGACAUCAACAAAGGGAAAAGUCACAAUAAUGGAGAUUAAGGAUUAGCCAUUCCACACUCAAAUCCUAAGCCCAAAACACCUAAAUCCUCACUGUCACUGUGAGUUAACUCUGACUUGACAAUAUGAUAGGAUCAUGCCCUGCCUUGGCAAUGACAGUAUCAGGGAUCAUCCCAGCCCGUCCUCCUGUUUCCCCGCAAAUCUCCUCGAAAAAGCUUAGUUGGUUCAUAUUUGUAGACUUCUCAAAUCGAUUUCCUUGUGGUUGGGGUAAGCCCCAUAUGUUCAUUUUUGUGCCUACUAUGACAAUGAUCAGCACUUAAAAUGAUAUAGGACUCUGCAACCAGUAAUACUAAAAAAAAUUAUAAAGCUAAAAGCAAACAGUUUAUUUAUAGAUUGUGAUGCAUUUAUUUUGGUAGAGAUAUUGAACCUCAUGCAGCUCCACUAACUUAUAGAGUUGCUGCACCAACUUGCUGAUUGACUCAUCUGUACCAGGAACCACAGUAGUAAGCCGAGAAAUUCCUUCUACUUCUGAAUGUCCUACAGCUAAACUCUGAAAAUAAAAGAGAACACAUUCAAACAAACGAAAGAACAUACAUUAAAACGUGAGACUUUGUUUAUGCAAUUUUAUACCAACACCAAAGUGAAAAACAACACUGAUGAAGCAAACCUGAAUGUUAUAGCCCCUUCUAGCAAAGACCCCUGUAACAAUGUUCAGAACUCCGGGAGCAUCGUUCACAAGCAUGGAUAAAGUGUGUGAUCGAAUUCCACUAGUCUGAAGGCAUUAUCCCAACAAUUAGAUUAUUACAUGCAAAUCCAUGAAAAUUAUAUGCUGGUGUACGAGAAUCAGCUAGAAUUUUAGCUCUUGACAAGCAUAAAACAUUUCUAAUUAGCAUUAAAACUUUACAGGUGUCUGGUACAAAGAUUUAUGAAGUAAUUUUCAUACAAUUUGGUCCCAAGCUUUUUAAUAUGUCAUUUACAGAAAAGCAAUAUCGUGUUAACUCAACUUGAUUAAAUUUAAAGACAAGAAAAUAAUGACAAAGAUAUCAUAAAUUGUAUUUAAUAGAAAUGCAUAACCAAAAAAAUCAAAUAGAAAUGUCAUUUGUAUUUAAUAAAAGAAAUAUACACUCUAAAACGGGAACAUCAAAUUAAAAAAAAAUAACACUAGCAAGAACCUGCAGAUGAGGAUUACAACGCAUUACAAGAAAACAUAAAAGGAGACAUUUAAGGACAAUGAAAAACUUUAAACCAUCUUACAUCUUCAUCAAUGAGAAAACCCCAUUGAGCGUCAAGUACUUGAUUGACUGUAAAACUGUCUGAAGGCUCUAUAGGAUAUACAUCUCCCUUCACAUAAGCAAACAUUUCAAAAAGAUAAGGUCAGAGACUAGAUCGGAAUAUACUGUUUACUAAUGACCAAAUAAAUCAAGUACAUAAGGGACAGAAAAUAUUGAACAUGUUGAUAAUGAAAUGCAUUCAAGACUCAAGUCACUGUUAGCAUCAUUUUGUGCAAUAGUUAAAAAAUUGUUUGUCUUUAGUUUUUUUUUUUG
rnacentral:lncRNA from 1 species